AUAUUUACCUGGCAGGGGAGAUACCAUGAUCACAAAGGUGGUUUUCUCAAGGCAAGGCUGAUCCCUUGAACUCUGGAUGUGCUGACCCCCGCAACUUCCCCAAGUAUAGAAAACUCGGCUGAGUAACUUGAGGUAGUCGGGGACUAUGUUUUUGCUUUUCCCUAA
ensembl:snRNA U1 U1 spliceosomal RNA